AUGGGUCACGCCCUCUUCAUCGUCGUGCUUCUCCUGGUCGCCGUCGCGGUCGUGCCCUUGGCGCAGGCGCACAACAUCGUCACGGAGGACAAGAAGGCCGCCGAGAAAAAGGCCGAAUCGCCAGCGCCCGCGGCCAGCGCGCCAGCCGACGCGCCCGCCGCCGACUCCCCAGCCUCCGAGCCCUCCGCUGCGGAUGCACCGGAGCCCAGCAGCAGCAGCAGCAGCACCUCCGACUGA
rnacentral:rRNA from 1 species